rnacentral:rRNA from 1 species
AGAUGUUGGGUUAAGUCCCGCAACGAGCGCAACCCUUGUCUUUAGUUGCCAUCAUUAAGUUGGGCACUCUAGAGAGACUGCCAGGGAUAACCUGGAGGAAGGUGGGGAUGACGUCAAAUCAUCAUGCCCCUUAUGCUUAGGGCUACACACGUGCUACAAUGGGUAGUACAGAGGGUUGCCAAGCCGUAAGGUGGAGCUAAUCCCUUAAAGCUACUCUCAGUUCGGAUUGUAGGCUGAAACUCGCCUACAUGAAGCUGGAGUUACUAGUAAUCGCAGAUCAGAAUGCUGCGGUGAAUGCGUUCCCGGGUCUUGUAC